rnacentral:rRNA from 1 species
AUACGUAGGGGGCAAGCGUUAAUCGGAAUUACUGGGCGUAAAGCGUGCGUAGGCGGUUUUGAAAGUCAGAUGUGAAAUCCCCGGGCUUAACCUGGGAGCUGCCUUUGUUACGUGCAGACUAGAGUACGGGAGAGGGGUGUGGAAUUCCCCGUGUAGCGGUGAAAUGCGUAGAUAUGGGGAGGAACACCGAUGGCGAAGGCAAUCCCUUGGGCAUGUCCUGCCGUUAAUGCACGAAAGCGUGGGGAGCAACAAGGAUUAGUUCCCUGGGUAGUCACCGUCUUAACGGAUUGCAACUGGUUGUGGGGACUUUAUUGACUCAGUAACGAAGCUAACGCGUGAAGUUGACCGCCUGGGGAGUACGGCCGCAAGGUUGAAACUCAAAGGAAUUGGCGGGG